UACGAAGGGGACUAGCGUUGUUCGGAAUCACUGGGCGUAAAGCGCACGUAGGCGGCUUUGUAAGUCAGGGGUGAAAUCCCGGGGCUCAACCUCGGAACUGCCUUUGAUACUGCGAGUCUUGAGUCCGAUAGAGGUGGGUGGAAUUCCUAGUGUAGAGGUGAAAUUCGUAGAUAUUAGGAAGAACACCAGUGGCGAAGGCGGCUCACUGGACCGGUAUUGACGCUGAGGUGCGAAAGCGUGGGGAGCAAACAGG
rnacentral:rRNA from 1 species